CGGUAAUUCCAGCUCCAAUAGCGUAUACUAAAGUUGUUGCAGUUAAAAAGCUCGUAGUUGGAUUUCUGUGGGGACGGAGCGGCCGGCCGCAACUUGCGGUUCGAGCUAGCGCUUUCCCUACAUCCUGCCGCGAACCGUGCUACCAUUAGUUUGGUGGCGCCGGGGAUCGGCUCGUUUACUUUGAGAAAAAUAGAGCGUUCAAAGCAGGCCACACGCCUUGAAUAAGUUAGCAUGGAAUAAUAAUAAAGGACUUCGGUUCUAUUUUGUUGGUGUUCGGGACUGAAGUAAUGAUUGAUAGGGACAGUUGGGGCGGUCAGUAUUCCAAAGCGAGAGGUGAAAUUCUUAGACCUUCGGAAGACUAACAGCUGCGAAAGCGUUCCGCAAGGAUGUUCCCUUUGAUCAAGAACGAAAGUUGGGGGAUCGAAGACGAUCAGAUACCGUCGUAGUCCCAACUAUAAACUAUACCAGCUAGGGAUCGGCCAACGUUAAAUUAUUCGACUUGGUCGGCACCUUAUGAGAAAUCAAAGCAUCUGGGUUCCGGGAGGAGUAUGGUCGCAAGGCUGAAACUUAAAGGAAUUGACGGAAGGGCACCACCAGCCGUGGAGCCUGUGGCUUAAUUUGACUCAACACGGGAAAACUUACCAGGUCCAGACAUAGUAAGGAUUGACAGAUUGAUAGCUCUUUCUUGAUUCUGUGGGUGGUGGUGCAUGGCCGUUCUUAGUUGGUGGAGUGAUUUGUCUGGUUAAUUCCGUUAACGAACGAGACCCCAGCCUGCUAAAUAGCGCGAUUGAGCUUUGCUCGGUGCGAGCUUCUUAGAGGGACUAUGAUGCGCGAUAGCACAUGGAAGUUUGGGGCAAUAACAGGUCUGUGAUGCCCUUAGAUGUUCUGGGCCGCACACGGGCUACACUGGCGCCUGCAACGAGCAUAUCAGCUGGCCCGAGAGGGUCUUGGCUAAUCUUUUGAACCGGCGCCGUGCUUGGGAUUGACCAUUGCAAUUGUUGGUCAUGCAACGAGGAAUGCCUUGUAAACGCGAGUCAUCAACUCGCAUUGAAUACGUCCCUGCCCUUUGUACACACCGCCCGUCGCUCCUACCGAUGAAUGUUCCGAUGAAAUUUUCGGAGAGCGCUUGUGAAGUUGGUUAUGCCUUCCGAACGAGAGGCUCAAAGUCACUUAAAUCUGAACAUUUCGAGGAAGGAGAAGUCGUAACAAGGUAGCCG
rnacentral:rRNA from 1 species